rnacentral:rRNA from 1 species
CCUACGGGAGGCAGCAGUCGAGAAUCUUCGGCAAUGGACGCAAGUCUGACCGAGCGACGCCGCGUGCGGGAUGAAGGCCUUCGGGUUGUAAACCGCUGUCAGAGGGGAUGAAGUGUACGGGAGUUAUCUCCUGUAUUUGACAGAGCCUCAGAGGAAGCACGGGCUAAGUUCGUGCCAGCAGCCGCGGUAAUACGAACUGUGCGAACGUUAUUCGGAAUCACUGGGCUUAAAGGGUGCGUAGGCGGCUGCCUAAGUCAGGUGUGAAAUCUCUCGGCUCAACCGGGAAACUGCGCUUGAUACCGGGCGGCUCGAGUGAGGUAGGGGUGUGUGGAACUUCCGGUGGAGCGGUGAAAUGUGUAGAUAUCGGAAGGAACGCCAGCAGCGAAAGCGGCACACUGGGCCUUUUCUGACGCUGAGGCACGAAAGCUAGGGGAGCGAACGGGAUUAGAUACCCCGGUAGUCCUAGCCGUAAACACUGAACACUCGAGGAGGGGGCUUCGGCCUUCUUUCUCUUAGCGAAAGCGUUAAGUGUUCCGCCUGGGGAGUAUGGUCGCAAGGCUGAAACUCAAAGGAAUUGACGG